rnacentral:rRNA from 1 species
AUUGAACGCUGGCGGCAGGCCUAACACAUGCAAGUCGAACGAGUGGCGGACGGGUGAGUAAUGUCUGGGAAACUGCCUGAUGGAGGGGGAUAACUACUGGAAACGGUAGCUAAUACCGCAUACCAUCGGAUGUGCCCAGAUGGGUUUAGCUAGUAGGUGGGGUAAAGGCUCACCUAGGCGACGAUCCCUAGCUGGUCUGAGAGGAUGACCAGGCACACUGGAACUGAGACACGGUCCAGACGCAUACGGGAGGCAGCAGUGGGGAAUAUUGCACAAUGGGCGCAAGCCUGAUGGAGCCAUGCCGCGUGUGUGAAGAAGGCAUUCGGGUUGUAAAGUUCUAUCAGUGGGGAAGCGUUACCCUAAGAAGAAGCACCGGCUAACUCCGUGCCAGCAGCCGCGGUAAUAC